rnacentral:rRNA from 1 species
CAAGGAAUUAAGAGUUUAUGGGGGAUACCUUGGCAUUCAGAAGCGAUGAAGGACGUGGUUACCGACGAUACGCUUCGGGGAGCUGGAAACAAGCUACGAUCCGGAGGUCUCCGAAUGAGGAAACUUUAAUACUACUUAUUGAAUACAUAAAUAAGAAAGAGCAAACCUAGGGAAUUGAAACAUCUUAGUACCUAGAGGAAGAGAAAGUAAAAACGAUUCCCUUAGUAGCGGCGAGCGAAGCGGGAACAGCCUAAACUUAAUAAUUAAGGGUAGCGGGACAGUUAGAAAUGAUUAAAUGUAACAAUUAGACGAAUUAGUUGGAAUACUAAACCAAAGAGAGUGAUAGUCUUGUAGUCGAAAAUUGAAACAAUCAAACUGAAUCCCAAGUAGCAUGGAGCACGUGAAAUUCCGUGUGAAUCAGCGAGGACCACCUCGUAAGGCUAAAUAUUCCUGAAUGACCGAUAGUGAAUUAGUACCGUGAGGGAAAGGUGAAAAGAACCCCGGGAGGGGAGUGAAAAGAACAUGAAACCAUAAACUUACAAUCAGUAGGAGGACGACUAAAACGUCUAACUUCGUGCCUGUUGAAGAAUGAGCCGGCGACUUAUAGGUAGUGGCAGGGUAAGGCAGAGAAUGCCGGGGCCAUAGCGAAA